rnacentral:rRNA from 1 species
UACGAAGGGGGGCUAGCGUUGCUCGGAAUCACUGGGCGUAAAGGGUGCGUAGGCGGGUCUUUAAGUCAGGGGUGAAAUCCCGGGGCUCAACCCCCGGGAACUGCCUUCAAAAACUCCCCAGUCUGGAGGUCGAGAGAGGGUGAGUGGAAUUCCGAGUGUAGAGGGUGAAAUUCGUUAGAUAUUCGCAAGAACACCAAGUGGCCGAAGGGCGGCUCAACUGGGCCCCGGGU